rnacentral:rRNA from 1 species
GAUGAACGCUGGCGGCGUGCUUAACACAUGCAAGUCGAACGGGAAACCUUUUAUUGAAGCUUCGGCAGAUUUAGCUGGUUUCUAGUGGCGGACGGGUGAGUAACGCGUGGGUAACCUGCCUUAUACAGGGGGAUAACAGUCAGAAAUGGCUGCUAAUACCGCAUAAGCGCACAGAGCUGCAUGGCUCAGUGUGAAAAACUCCGGUGGUAUAAGAUGGACCCGCGUUGGAUUAGCUGGUUGGUGGGGUAACGGCCCACCAAGGCGACGAUCCAUAGCCGGCCUGAGAGGGUGAACGGCCACAUUGGGACUGAGACACGGCCCAGACUCCUACGGGAGGCAGCUGUGGGGAAUAUUGCUCAAUGGGGGAAACCCUGAUGCAGCGACGCCGCGUGAAGGAAGAAGUAUCUCGGUAUGUAAACUUCUAUCAGCAGGGAAGAUAAUGACGGUACCUGACUAAGAAGCCCCGGCUAACUACGUG